AAAUCCGUUGGUUUUAUAGAUCGUGAGG
rnacentral:tRNA from 9 species